CAGGCGGGAACCCGCCCAUGAUGGCUCCAGACACAACAAAGAGUAUCCAAGUGCGGGGCUCUUGGCAGUCAGGCACUGCUGGCCUGCCGAUCACCAGCUGGCUUUAGUAAAAUAUGGGCAGUGACGCUAUGGGUUGUGAUUCACCCUCCAAGAACUGUGCUUGCAGUUCCCAACUGAUCCAGCACGGAGCACAGUGCCUGUUAACAACCUGAGCAAGAUAAGGAUAAUAGCACCCUGCAACUUCUCACCAAGAGAGAGGGCAUCUCUGAACAAGACCGCUGAAGCUGAGAGCUGGAAGGAGCUGAGUGUCUUCUAGUCUCUCCCAGGAGGGAAGAGCUGUGCUGAUGGACAAGAGGACAGGUUGGACACUGUGCUGAUGGACAAGAGGACAGGUUGGUCACUGUGGACUUAGCUGACUCCAGGUACCACAUCCAGUGAUCUUUGUCUUGAAUAUUAGUUACCUGCUCCCUUGGAGAUGUGGCUUCUCUCUCCCUAUAGAUUGUAUGGAUUUUAUGCUUCUUACCAUUUUUGUUUACGUGGACAUCAUCAUGCAAGUCCUUACCUGUGCUCUAGAUGUUAGAAAAAUGAGAAGGCAUGUUCAUCUUGGAAAAAUGAAGCCUAAAUCCUAGACAAUCUGGGGACUGGCAGCCCAGCUCCAUUGCAGAGCCUG
rnacentral:lncRNA from 1 species